rnacentral:rRNA from 1 species
UACGGAGGGUGCGAGCGUUGUCCGGAAUCAUUGGGCGUAAAGGGCGCGUAGGUGGCGGGACAAGCGUGCGGUGAAAGCUCGGGGCUCAACCCCGAGUCGGCCGUGCGAACUGUCUUGCUUGAGCACUGUAGAGGCAGGCGGAAUUCCGGGUGUAGCGGUGAAAUGCGCAGAUAUCGGGAGGAACACCUAUGGCGAAGGCAGCUCGCUGGGACGUUACUGACGCUGAGACGCGAAAGCGUGGGGAGCAAACAGG